GGUUAAGCGACUAAGCGUACACGGUGGAUGCCCUGGCAGUCAGAGGCGAUGAAGGACGUGCUAAUCUGCGAUAAGCGUCGGUAAGGUGAUAUGAACCGUUAUAACCGGCGAUUUCCGAAUGGGGAAACCCAGUGUGAUUCGUCACACUAUCAUUAACUGAAUCCAUAGGUUAAUGAGGCGAACCGGGGGAACUGAAACAUCUAAGUACCCCGAGGAAAAGAAAUCAACCGAGAUUCCCCCAGUAGCGGCGAGCGAACGGGGAGCAGCCCAGAGCCUGAAUCAGUGUGUGUGUUAGUGGAAGCGUCUGGAAAGGCGUGCGAUACAGGGUGACAGCCCCGUACACAAAAAUGCACAUACUGUGAGCUCGAUGAGUAGGGCGGGACACGUGGUAUCCUGUCUGAAUAUGGGGGGACCAUCCUCCAAGGCUAAAUACUCCUGACUGACCGAUAGUGAACCAGUACCGUGAGGGAAAGGCGAAAAGAACCCCGGCGAGGGGAGUGAAAAAGAACCUGAAACCGUGUACGUACAAGCAGUGGGAGCACGCUUAGGCGUGUGACUGCGUACCUUUUGUAUAAUGGGUCAGCGACUUAUAUUCUGUAGCAAGGUUAACCGAAUAGGGGAGCCGAAGGGAAACCGAGUCUUAACUGGGCGUUAAGUUGCAGGGUAUAGACCCGAAACCCGGUGAUCUAGCCAUGGGCAGGUUGAAGGUUGGGUAACACUAACUGGAGGACCGAACCGACUAAUGUUGAAAAAUUAGCGGAUGACUUGUGGCUGGGGGUGAAAGGCCAAUCAAACCGGGAGAUAGCUGGUUCUCCCCGAAAGCUAUUUAGGUAGCGCCUCGUGAAUUCAUCUCCGGGGGUAGAGCACUGUUUCGGCAAGGGGGUCAUCCCGACUUACCAACCCGAUGCAAACUGCGAAUACCGGAGAAUGUUAUCACGGGAGACACACGGCGGGUGCUAACGUCCGUCGUGAAGAGGGAAACAACCCAGACCGCCAGCUAAGGUCCCAAAGUCAUGGUUAAGUGGGAAACGAUGUGGGAAGGCCCAGACAGCCAGGAUGUUGGCUUAGAAGCAGCCAUCAUUUAAAGAAAGCGUAAUAGCUCACUGGUCGAGUCGGCCUGCGCGGAAGAUGUAACGGGGCUAAACCAUGCACCGAAGCUGCGGCAGCGACGCUUAUGCGUUGUUGGGUAGGGGAGCGUUCUGUAAGCCUGCGAAGGUGUGCUGUGAGGCAUGCUGGAGGUAUCAGAAGUGCGAAUGCUGACAUAAGUAACGAUAAAGCGGGUGAAAAGCCCGCUCGCCGGAAGACCAAGGGUUCCUGUCCAACGUUAAUCGGGGCAGGGUGAGUCGACCCCUAAGGCGAGGCCGAAAGGCGUAGUCGAUGGGAAACAGGUUAAUAUUCCUGUACUUGGUGUUACUGCGAAGGGGGGACGGAGAAGGCUAUGUUGGCCGGGCGACGGUUGUCCCGGUUUAAGCGUGUAGGCUGGUUUUCCAGGCAAAUCCGGAAAAUCAAGGCUGAGGCGUGAUGACGAGGCACUACGGUGCUGAAGCAACAAAUGCCCUGCUUCCAGGAAAAGCCUCUAAGCAUCAGGUAACAUCAAAUCGUACCCCAAACCGACACAGGUGGUCAGGUAGAGAAUACCAAGGCGCUUGAGAGAACUCGGGUGAAGGAACUAGGCAAAAUGGUGCCGUAACUUCGGGAGAAGGCACGCUGAUAUGUAGGUGAAGUCCCUCGCGGAUGGAGCUGAAAUCAGUCGAAGAUACCAGCUGGCUGCAACUGUUUAUUAAAAACACAGCACUGUGCAAACACGAAAGUGGACGUAUACGGUGUGACGCCUGCCCGGUGCCGGAAGGUUAAUUGAUGGGGUCAGCGCAAGCGAAGCUCUUGAUCGAAGCCCCGGUAAACGGCGGCCGUAACUAUAACGGUCCUAAGGUAGCGAAAUUCCUUGUCGGGUAAGUUCCGACCUGCACGAAUGGCGUAAUGAUGGCCAGGCUGUCUCCACCCGAGACUCAGUGAAAUUGAACUCGCUGUGAAGAUGCAGUGUACCCGCGGCAAGACGGAAAGACCCCGUGAACCUUUACUAUAGCUUGACACUGAACAUUGAGCCUUGAUGUGUAGGAUAGGUGGGAGGCUUUGAAGUGUGGACGCCAGUCUGCAUGGAGCCGGCCUUGAAAUACCACCCUUUAAUGUUUGAUGUUCUAACGUUGACCCGUAAUCCGGGUUGCGGACAGUGUCUGGUGGGUAGUUUGACUGGGGCGGUCUCCUCCUAAAGAGUAACGGAGGAGCACGAAGGUUGGCUAAUCCUGGUCGGACAUCAGGAGGUUAGUGCAAUGGCAUAAGCCAGCUUGACUGCGAGCGUGACGGCGCGAGCAGGUGCGAAAGCAGGUCAUAGUGAUCCGGUGGUUCUGAAUGGAAGGGCCAUCGCUCAACGGAUAAAAGGUACUCCGGGGAUAACAGGCUGAUACCGCCCAAGAGUUCAUAUCGACGGCGGUGUUUGGCACCUCGAUGUCGGCUCAUCACAUCCUGGGGCUGAAGUAGGUCCCAAGGGUAUGGCUGUUCGCCAUUUAAAGUGGUACGCGAGCUGGGUUUAGAACGUCGUGAGACAGUUCGGUCCCUAUCUGCCGUGGGCGCUGGAGAACUGAGGGGGGCUGCUCCUAGUACGAGAGGACCGGAGUGGACGCAUCACUGGUGUUCGGGUUGUCAUGCCAAUGGCACUGCCCGGUAGCUAAAUGCGGAAGAGAUAAGUGCUGAAAGCAUCUAAGCACGAAACUUGCCCCGAGAUGAGUUCUCCCUGACUCCUUGAGAGUCCUGAAGGAACGUUGAAGACGACGACGUUGAUAGGCCGGGUGUGUAAGCGCAGCGAUGCGUUGAGCUAACCGGUACUAAUGAACCGUGAGGCUUAACCUU
rnacentral:rRNA from 1 species